rnacentral:misc_RNA from 1 species
UCCGGUUCAUCACCGGCAGUCUCCCCAGAGUCCCCGCCUUUACGCGCUGGUAACUGGGAACAGGGGUUGCGCUCGUUACGGGACUUAACCCAACAUCUCACAACACGAGCUGACGACAGCCAUGCAGCACCUGUCUUGUGGUUCCUUGCGGCACUCCCACAUCUCUGCAGGAUUCCACAGAUGUCAAGGGCAGGUAAGGUUCUUCGCGUUGCAUCGAAUUAAACCACAUGCUCCACCGCUUGUGCGGGCCCCCGUCAAUUCCUUUGAGUUUUAACCUUGCGGCCGUACUCCCCAGGCGGAGAACUUAUCGCGUUAGCUUCGAUACUAAUGGGCCAGGCCCACCAACAUCCAGUUCUCAUCGUUUACAGCGUGGACUAC